GGGCCCGCACAAGCGGUGGAGCAUGUGGUUUAAUUCGAUGAUACGCGAGGAACCUUACCAGGGCUUAAAUGUAGUAUGACCGGUCUAGAAAUAGACCUUCUCUUCGGAGCAGAUUACAAGGUGCUGCAUGGUUGUCGUCAGCUCGUGCCGUGAGGUGUUAGGUUAAGUCCUGCAACGAGCGCAACCCCUAUUCUUAGUUGCCAGCGGUUCGGCCGGGGACUCUAAGAAGACUGCCAGCGCAAGCUGAGAGGAAGGUGGGGAUGACGUCAAGUCCUCAUGGCCCUUACAGGCUGGGCUACACACGUGCUACAAUGGCGAUGACAGUGGGCAGCGACCCCGCAAGGGUGAGCUAA
rnacentral:rRNA from 1 species